GAUGAACGCUGGCGGCGUGCCUAAUACAUGCAAGUCGAGCGAACAGACGAGGAGCUUGCUCCUCUGACGUUAGCGGCGGACGGGUGAGUAACACGUGGAUAACCUACCUAUAAGACUGGGAUAACUUCGGGAAACCGGAGCUAAUACCGGAUAAUAUAUUGAACCGCAUGGUUCAAUAGUGAAAGACGCUUUUGCUGUCACUUAUAGAUGGAUCCGCGCCGCAUUAGCUAGUUGGUAAGGUAACGGCUUACCAAGGCGACGAUGCGUAGCCGACCUGAGAGGGUGAUCGGCCACACUGGAACUGAGACACGGUCCAGACUCCUACGGGAGGCAGCAGUAGGGAAUCUUCCGCAAUGGGCGAAAGCCUGACGGAGCAACGCCGCGUGAGUGAUGAAGGUCUUCGGAUCGUAAAACUCUGUUAUUAGGGAAGAACAAAUGUGUAAGUAACUAUGCACGUCUUGACGGUACCUAAUCAGAAAGCCACGGCUAACUACGUG
rnacentral:rRNA from 1 species